UUUGGAGUUAUAUCGAAGAAGUUAUUAACGUUUGAAAUUUGGAAUUUUAAGGAAUUAUAAUUUUAGUAAAAUAUAGAAAUUCUUUUAUGAAAUUGGACGGCCCAGAUUUAUUGAUGAAUGAAAUGGAUGGCUGGGAUGAGGGAAAGGUUUUUGGUGUGUGUAUGUGUAUGAGAAGAAGAAAAAGAAAACAGAAAAGAAGAAGAGAGAUUGGGCAAAAACUGCCCAAUCGGAGAAGAAGGAGAGAGAGCGAAUCAGAGGCAGAGAGAGGAAGAAACUGACCAACCAUGGGAAGGAAAUGAGGGAAAGGAGGGAGAGUGGUGCACGGGGGAAAAGGAGGAACGGGUCGUUCUUGACCCGUGCGGCCCGCGCGCGACCCGUCGGUGUUCUUCACCAAAUUUCGUCGAAAUUUCACCAUUUUUCCGGUGAGUUACAUCAAUCCAUCACUUGGAAAACCUUCUAUGAUCUUCCCUCUUUACGUUUCACCCCAAGAAUCAUUGAAUUUCGUUGUGAUUUCGCGAAGAACACCCCUACGGGUGCCGCGACCCUUUUGUUUAAAUUCUCCAAAUUUUGAAAUGUUUUCUUUCAAUUACUAACACCAUUAGCAUUCCUUUAGGACCUAGAACAAAGCCCAAGAGGUAAUUGAGGCGUUGGAACAAGUUUGAAGGUCGAAUUGGAAACACCCAAAUUCUAGGGUUCUUCACGGUUUUGGUGAAAUUGAAGCACUUCCAGGCCAAAUUGGCCUUGGUCUCAGGUAUGAAAGUUGUUCAACUCAUUGAGAUCUUCAAAUCUGCAAAUUUUGGUAAUUUUUGGAAAUAGUUGAAUUUUCCGGCGAGCCGGGGGCGGCCAACCGCCACCCGCGGCGGCCCGCGCGGCGGCGCGUGGCCAAUGGCCGCCAAUGUCAUUAUUAGCUUGUGAUUAAGGUUCUAGUUCUGUUUUGAUAAUUGAUGGACGUAAAUUGAAUAAUUGAACCUAAGUUGGUUACGAUUCGGGGUUAGGUGAAAAUGUGAAUUGACGAUCCGACCGUUGGAUCGUCAUCAAACUUUGAUACGUUGUAAUACGUAAUAUUUGAGGAUUAUAGGAACUUACGGAUUGGGAAUCCGAUUUACGGAUAUUCCGGAAUUGGAAUUGUAAGUUCAUAAAAUAGAAUGUUAACCGUCGCUUAGUUUUGGAAAUUGACGGAGAUCCGACCGUUGGAUGGUAACGAAAUUUUAGGAUGUUGUCCUAGAGGUAUAUUGUGGACCUCUGGAAGUUUCGGAUUUGAAAUCUGAGUUGCAGAUCAUCCGGAUCGAACUACGUAGUGACGUGUCUUAUAUAAGUUAUGUAUUCUAUCGGCAGGAUUUCUGAGGUUGGGUUUGAUUAUUGUUCUAGGCGCUAAUCUUCAUGACGCCUUGAUGUGUGGUGCUAGGGAGUUGUUGAGCGAACUCCAGGUGAGUGGGCAGUUUUGUUUUCGUAUUACCUUUAUACUAUAAAUUUUUCCCAGAAGAUGAAUUUAUACGAAAUUAUGUUUUGAAAAUGCCAUGCAUAGAAUUAUUUGGAAAAUGUGAAUUUCAUAUGAGUUAUAUGAUUGAUAUAUGAUGCAUACAUGUUGCAUGGUGCUGUGGAGGCACAGGUAAGUCAGGUGAGUUCAUUAUUCAUUUAAUUGAUUGUUGAUAAGAUGUUUCAAGCUCAUAACCUGCACCCUAGGUGUUAGUGCUUAUUUUAUUCACCACACCGCACGCUCGCCUUGGAUCCAAGUAGGUGGAUGUCGUACAGACCAUGUGAGGGUUCCGACAUGCUAGUCGUAUAGAUCACUAGGCGUGAUUCCGACUAGUGGGUGAUCUUAGUUAUGCGCGCUGAUGAUAUGAUGAGAGAAGCACUAGAGCGUAUUUUUACACCUUUCAUCGUACAGACUACCUUACGUAGUUCCGAGUGAAUGUGCAGAGUAGGGCCGUAUAGGUCACUGUGGUGACUCCGGCUUAGUGAGAUAUUGAGCUAUUGAAUUAAUCGUAUAGGACCAACUGCAGGGUCUCCGAUUGAUUCCUUAUUUCACCUGAUUUAUAUUUUGAUUUAUGGCAUGGCAUGUUUUUCUUGAAAAAUGUUAAAGAUUUGGGAUUCAAGUUUUGAGAUUUCAUAUGGUUAUAUAUAUAUAUUUUUCUGAAAAGUGUUAAAGGUUUUGAGAUUUGAGAUUUUUGCUUAUAUAUAUGUUUAUAUAUAUGCUAUUUUCUGGGAAAGUAUACAGGUUUUACGGUGAGGGGUUAGAAAUAUUUUAAAUGAAAAGUUUUCGAAAAACUUUGUUUUACUGACCCACUCAAUUUUGUUUUGCGCCCCUCCAGGUUCAAGUUAGCAGAGCUUUGGUGGCCACGAGGAAUCCAACGGUGUUCUGACAGAAUUCACAAAAGUAGGACUCACCCUCGGGUGUGUCAUCUUAGUAAUUGGAAAUUUUUUUUUAAAGCUUCUGAACUAUGUAAAUGGUUACGUCACUCUCACGUGACGGCCAGCACGCCCUCCUUCGGGACGGGGUGUGUCAAAUAACAUCAUUAAUUAUUUCAAUAAUAAAAUACUUUUUUUUAUUU
rnacentral:lncRNA from 1 species